UACGUAGGGCGCAAGCGUUGUCCGGAAUUAUUGGGCGUAAAGAGCUCGUAGGCGGUUUGUCGCGUCUGCUGUGAAAACCUAAGGCUCAACCUUGGGCUUGCAGUGGGUACGGGCAGACUAGAGUGCGGUAGGGGUGACUGGAAUUCCUGGUGUAGCGGUGGAAUGCGCAGAUAUCAGGAGGAACACCCGAUGGCGAAGGCAGGUCACUGGGCCGGCAACUGACCGCUGGAGGAGCGGAAAGCAUGGGGAGCGAACAGG
rnacentral:rRNA from 1 species